GGGGAAUUUUCCGCAAUGGGCGAAAGCCUGACGGAGCAAUACCGCGUGAGGGAUGACGGCCUAUGGGUUGUAAACCUCUUUUUUCAGGGAGGAAAAAAAUGACGUUACCUGAAGAAUAAGCAUCGGCUAACUCCGUGCCAGCAGCCGCGGUAAGACGGAGGAUGCAAGUGUUAUCCGGAAUCACUGGGCGUAAAGCGUCUGUAGGUGGUUUAAUAAGUCAACUGUUAAAUCUUGAGGCUCAACCUCGAAACUGCAGUCGAAACUAUUAGACUAGAGUAUAGUAGGGGUAAAGGGAAUUUCCAGUGGAGCGGUGAAAUGCGUAGAGAUUGGAAAGAACACCGAUGGCGAAGGCACUUUACUGGGCUAUUACUAACACUGAGAGACGAAAGCUAGGGUAGCAAAUGGGAUUAGAUACCCCUGUAGUC
rnacentral:rRNA from 1 species